CCACCAACACCACUACCACACCACCACGGCGAUGUUGAUGUUGGUGAUGAUGAUGACGACGAUGAUGAUAAUGAUGAUGACGAUGAUGAUGAUGAGGUCGGUGCUGGCGAAAAUGUAGACUGCUAUAAUCGGCAUAAUUUUUUACUAUACCAUUUGCGUCGCUUGGAUAAUAAUAUCAACAAAUCCCACAAUGCACCUAUGUAAACAAUUACUAGUGUAGGUCACUUUCAUAUUAAACGAUUGUUUUGAAUGAUGAAGAAUGUAAUACUUACUGAUAAUGCAUUGGUCUCCUAAAAAGGUUAAGCCUGUUGUGAGACAUUAUUAAAAAUGGAUUUGUUUAGAGACAAAUAUCUGUUUACAAAAGAGUAUUACGAAAAGAAAGUUGUUACUCCUGACGAAGAAACAUUGACCCAACAAUUGAACCUGACUAACUUUGACAAGAAACCGGACGUUAAACCGGAGGACCAGGAGGUUCCCGGGCGUGUUCUGGGUCACGUCGCGCUCGAUGAGAAACUCGUUGGGCUAUACUUCUCAGCCGGGUGGUGUCCACCCUGCCAGCAGUUCACCCCGCUUCUGUGCGAUCUCUAUGAUGAGCUCUUGAACCGUAAGGCCAACUUUGAGGUGGUCUUCCUCAGCUUCGACAGAACCGCUGAUGAAAUGGAGAAGUACUUUAUGAUCAAACACAGGAGUUGGCUUGCUCUUCCAAACGAUGAUCCCUUUAAAGAUGAGUUAAAAAUGAAGUACAACGUGACGGCGGUGCCGAAGUUGAUCAUCGUCAGUAGGGGUGGGGAGGUUGUGACUGCCAAGGGUCGGAAGGAGGUGCAGGACAAGGGUGUCAUCGCCUUCCGGAAUUGGCAGCAGGCCGCCGCCACAUUAGAGGCCAAGCAGCAGGCGCUCGGCAACACGGAAACGACAGCUGCUUCCGGAGACGGCGCGGAAAAAGCGCUUGAAGGACUGACCACUGAGAACGAAACAUGAUUGCAUAUUUUAUAAUGACAUGGAUACGCAAAUUAUAGUCAAUGCUCAUUUUGGGCCAAUCUUGAGAGUAAAAAAAGUGCGUCACCACUACGGGCUUUAAUUCAGGAUGAUUUCAAACUGAUUCGCUUUAUUUGUGCGUUGGGGUUGGUUUAUAUGUGUUGCCAUAUCUAUACUUUGUCAAAUUCAUAUGCGUAUUUAAAGUAAGUUUUAAACAUAUGAUUCUGUUGGGAUUAUUAAAAAUUGUACUAUUAUUUAAGAGUGUACUCACAUAUCGCCUGUUGACUGUUUAUAAACAGAACCCGAAAACGCGCCUAGGCAUUGGUCGCAUGCAGUUCCCACUGUGCGUAUUCAGCUGAAUCAAUACCAGUGUGUGCAUAUCACGUGAUAAAUUACGUCAUAUAUGCUACGUCGGAGGGUAACAUUUUGAUUUAAUAAUAUUGACUUAAAUCAAAGAUAACUUUUCUUUUAUUACACCAUUUUAGAUAAAACAAAGGCAGUCUAUGCCGCUCAAAGAACCCCACCUUCGUUUUAUUACGAUGUUCAUCAGACGUAGUAAAGAGCAAAACACUAGCUCAUUACAUAUUCAUGUCAUUAAUGUCUUUCAGACGUUCUCUAUUUUGGCAACUUAACAUUCACCAAAACCUACCGAGCAUGUUAAUCCGUGUCUUCUUACAGGUGCAUCCCCAUUUUAAUGCCUCACAAUUUUACCAGUCCAUAUUUGCACUUAAAAUUAAGCACACUUUUUAGCUGUGGUAUUUCGUAGCUGCCUUCGUUGGUGGCAAGGUUUGCACUUGGGGAAUCGUUUUUGCAGUGUUCACUUUUUGCACUAAUUUUAAAGUUCCUCCUCUGGUUUUCCUCUAUCCAAUGACAAAACUAUGUAUUCACCUGCUGUUUUGAAAUGUUCUUGUGUGCUCUCCUUAAGAAAAAAAAACCCUUCUGAAUGUUAUUUAAAAAGGGGAUCUGGUGUUGCCUUCUUAAGUUAUUGCUACUUCCCUCAUAUGCCAUAUUUCCGUGAUACUGUUUGACAUCCGCUGAAAGCAUGAACAAAUGGUAGAAUGCGAAAUUCGUCAAUUCUUAGAACACUUUUUGCUGUAAUGUAUCAAUUUUACUCCUUUUUAGUGAAGAAUCAGAUUUAGAAUAGAUGUGAUAUAAAUGUAUGUUUAAAUGAUAAAAAGAAGAACUUACAAGUCUGUGUUUCCCCCGAAAAUAACUGUAGGUUUGUAUUAACUGAAGGACUUUUCACAGGCAAAAAUAUAAUCUAUAAAUAUAAUCACAAAAUAUACAAAAAGUUUGUGAAGGAAUUUGUUGGACCCCAAAUACUAAAUUGACUAGCUUAUUAUAUUAUAAAUAGUUUGCUCUUUGAUAUUUCAAGUAUAAAAAUCCCUAGUUUAAGUGGAACCCUUUAGCAAUUGAUGAUAUGUGCUCAAGUAUUUGAAGAUCACAAUUUUCAAUAGUGUUUAAUGACGGGUUUCAGCGAUUCGUUGUUGUGUGACUAGAUGCUUGACAUAAUUACGUGAUGUUAUCAAUGUAGUUUAAAAGGUCAAAAUAUCCUCUCUCUUUAAGUCCUUGUGGCCUUGUGGUUAAGACGUCGGUUCAAAUUG